AACUUUACAAUGCGGGAAACCGUGAUAAGGGGACACCGAGUGCCAGCAUCAUAUGCUGGCUGUCCAGGUGUACACCUGUAGCAAGGGCCGGCAAGACCGGUGCCAGCCGCCGCGGUAACACCGGCGGCCCGAGUGGUGAUCGUGAUUAUUGGGUCUAAAGGGUCCGUAGCCGGUUUGGUCAGUCCUCCGGGAAAUCUGAUAGCUUAACUGUGGGAAUGCUGGAGAUACUAUCAGGCUUGAGGUCGGGAGAGGUUAGGGGUACUCCCAGGGUAGGGGUGAAAUCCUAUAAUCCUGGGAGGACCACCUGUGGCGAAGGCGCCUAACUGGAACGACCUGACGGUGAGUAACGAAAGCAGGGGGCGCGAACCGGAUUAGAUACCCGGGUAGUCCUGGCCGUAACGAUGCUCGCUAGGUGUCAGGUGGUGCCGCAGGGAAGCCGUGAAGCGAGCCACCUGGGAAGUACGGCCGCAAGGCUGAAACUUAAGGAAUUGGCGGGGGAGC
rnacentral:rRNA from 1 species